rnacentral:rRNA from 1 species
GAAUUCACUAGUGAUUGAGUUUGAUCCUGGCUCAGGAUGAACGCUAGCGGCAGGCUUAAUACAUGCAAGUCGUGGGGCAGCGCAGGUAGCAAUACUAGGCGGCGACCGGCAAACGGGUGCGGAACACGUACACAACCUUCCGAGAAGUGGGGAAUAGCCCAGAGAGAUUUGGAUUAAUACCCCGUAACAUAACGAUGUGGCAUCACAUUGUUAUUAUAGCUUCGGCGCUUCUUGAUGGGUGUGCGGCUGAUUAGAUAGUUGGCGGGGUAACGGCCCACCAAGUCUACGAUCAGUAGCUGAUGUGAGAGCAUGAUCAGCCACACGGGCACUGAGACACGGGCCCGACUCCUACGGGAGGCAGCAGUAAGGAAUAUUGGUCAAUGGACGCAAGUCUGAACCAGCCAUGCCGCGUGAAGGAUUAAGGUCCUCUGGAUUGUAAACUUCUUUUAUCUGGGACGAAAAAAGGCGAUUCUUCGUCACUUGACGGUACCAGAUGAAUAAGCACCGGCUAACUCCGUGCCAGCAGCCGCGGUAAUACGGAGGGUGCAAGCGUUAUCCGGAUUCACUGGGUUUAAAGGGUGCGUAGGCGGGCAGGUAAGUCAGUGGUGAAAUCCUA